UGGUUUGUCGCGUUGUUCGUGAAAUCUCACGGCUUAACUGUGAGCGUGCGGGCGAUACGGGCAGACUUGAGUACUGCAGGGGAGGCUGGAAUUCCUGGUGUAGCGGUGGAAUGCGCAGAUAUCAGGAGGAACACCGGUGGCGAAGGCGGGUCUCUGGGCAGUAACUGACGCUGAGGAGCGAAAGCGUGGGGAGCGAACAGGAUUAGAUACCCUGGUAGUCCACGCCGUAAACGGUGGGUACUAGGUGUGGGUUUCCUUCCUUGGGAUCCGUGCCGUAGCUAACGCAUUAAGUACCCCGCCUGGGGAGUACGGCCGCAAGGCUAAAACUCAAAGAAAUUGACGGGGGCCCGCACAAGCGGCGGAGCAUGUGGAUUAAUUCGAUGCAACGCGAAGAACCUUGCCUGGGUUUGACAUGCACAGGACGCCGGCAGAGAUGUCGGUUCCCUUGUGGCCUGUGUGCAGGUGGUGCAUGGCUGUCGUCAGCUCGUGUCGUGAGAUGUUGGGUUAAGUCCCGCAACGAGCGCAACCCUUGUCUCAUGUUGCCAGCGGGUAAUGCCGGGGACUCGUGAGAGACUGCCGGGGUCAACUCGGAGGAAGGUGGGGAUGACGUCAAGUCAUCAUGCCCCUUAUGUCCAGGGCUUCACACAUGCUACAAUGGCCGGUACAAAGGGCUGCGAUGCCGCGAGGUUAAGCGAAUCCUUUUAAAGCCGGUCUCAGUUCGGAUCGGGGUCUGCAACUCGACCCCGUGAAGUCGGA
rnacentral:rRNA from 1 species